rnacentral:sRNA from 1 species
ACAUUGUUUCACUGGAAUAUACCGAAUGGUAUUAAAUCUAAUGGCUGCCGUUUGCCGUGGUCCAGACUUGAUAACCCCAGCAGACGACACAUUCAGACGCAGACGAUAUCUCCCCUCAUCAUCAGCCUUGACCAGGACCUCCCCAUGACGUUUCCAGAUGUCGCGCGUCUACUCGCGGGAUUUACUGGCGGAGAUUUUCCCGACAUUUGACAGGCCGCUUAUGUCCAGUGAGUCCAAGUCCGCUUAUGUCGUCCGCUGAUGCCGGAGUUAAUAGCAUGACAAUCAAUGGAGGCAUUGUGUGGACUAUUGUGGUCUUUAUCGGAGGAUUAGCGCUGUAUACCCAAGUGGAUGCGAGUCAAGGGGUGCCUGUGUUUAACAAAUCGGAUAACAUAUUGACCGCGUGUUAGAGAGACUGACGACCAAUUACCAUGCAAGUCGUUGUCAUCUACGGACCACUUUUGCACUUCAUUUUGCAUAAAGAUACUUGUCACUCAUAAUCGGUUUUGGAUUUACUUCCAAUUUCAAAGAAUUCCUGCAAUUUCUGCACUUUUUUAAAAGCUCCCAAUCAGAAAUGUUUUGGGUAACAAAAAAAAAACUGAUUCAGGGGGAGAAAAAAGUAGUGGUUCGUUGAAUUAUAACGAUUUUGGUUUGCGAUUUCCUUCAUUUCUAGUAUGAAGUAGGCGAUGCCUAUUGUUCAUGUAUCAAAAUAUUUACCGAUGCCAUUGCGUGCCAUUUGUAACUGAAUCACAUCUGUGACUGAAGUUGCUUUACAUCCUUUGUCUUUUCUCUGGUACAAGUGUAAUUUGCGUCGCGUUGGAUGAUCUCGAUCCCGACCCGUUUUGACCGGUGCUGUUGUCCUACAUUUCCAGACGAUGACUAGCUAUGGUAGCUGAGGUUGUGCUGGAAUUCUUUCUGUGAUUCCUGGCACGCGGUGUAAAAAACACACAAGAAAAACAGAAACCAAAACAAACAGCGCCCGACUUUCUCGCCGACCAUUUUCAUAGCAUCUACAUCUACGCCGUAAAAAAGUUUUGGAUACAAAAGCAAUGUCACCAAACAGUUGGGAUCCAUGAUAGAAAACAAUGCAAAAAUCCAAACGAGUCCGGAAUUGCAAAAAAGUGACCGAUUUAGAUUCCAGUACUUUAUUAAUAAUAUCGAGUAGAUCAAACAGUU